GACGAACGCUGGCGGCGUGCUUAACACAUGCAAGUCGAACGAUGACGACCGAGCUUGCUCGGUCUGAUUAGUGGCGAACGGGUGAGUAACACGUGAGCAACCUGCCCUUCACUCUGGGAUAACCCCGGGAAAUCGGGGCUAAUACCGGAUAUGAGCUCCUGUCGCAUGGCGGGUGUUGGAAAGUUUUUCGGUUAAGGAUGGGCUCGCGGCCUAUCAGUUUGUUGGUGAGGUAGUGGCUCACCAAGGCGAUGACGGGUAGCCGGCCUGAGAGGGCGAACGGCCACACUGGGACUGCGACACGGCCCAGACUCCUACGGGAGGCAGCAGUGGGGAAUCUUGCACAAUGGGCGAAAGCCUGAUGCAGCGACGCCGCGUGAGGGAUGCCGGCCUUCGGGUUGUAAACCUCUUUCAGCAGGGAAGAAGCGAAAGUGACGGUACCUGCAGAAGAAGCGCCGGCUAACUACGUG
rnacentral:rRNA from 1 species